rnacentral:rRNA from 1 species
UUGCUCUUCAACGAGGAAUGCCUAGUAAGCGUACGUCAUCAGCGUGCGUUGAUUACGUCCCUGCCCUUUGUACACACCGCCCGUCGCUACUACCGAUUGAAUGGCUGAGUGAGGCCUUCGGACUGGCCCAGGGAGGUCGGCAACGACCACCCAGGGCCGGAAAGUUGGUCAAACUCCGUCAUUUAGAGGAAGUAAAAGUCGUAACAAGGUUUCCGUAGGUGAACCUGCGGAAGGAUCAUUAAAGAGUAAGGGUGCUCAGCGCCCGACCUCCAACCCUUUGUUGUUAAAACUACCUUGUUGCUUUGGCGGGACCGCUCGGUUCCGAGCCGCUGGGGAUUCGUCCCAGGCGAGUGCCCGCCAGAGUUAAACCAAACUCUUGUUAUUAAACCGGUCGUCUGAGUUAAAAUUUUGAAUAAAUCAAAACUUUCAACAACGGAUCUCUUGGUUCUCGCAUCGAUGAAGAACGCAGCGAAAUGCGAUAAGUAAUGUGAAUUGCAGAAUUCAGUGAAUCAUCGAAUCUUUGAACGCACAUUGCGCCCCUUGGUAUUCCGAGGGGCAUGCCUGUUCGAGCGUCAUUACACCACUCAAGCUAUGCUUGGUAUUGGGUGCCGUCCUUAGUUGGGCGCGCCUUAAAGACCUCGGCGAGGCCUCACCGGCUUUAGGCGUAGUAGAAUUUAUUCAAUUAACGUCUGUCAAUGGAGAGGACUUCUGCCGACUGAAACCUUUAUUUUUUACAGGUUGACCUCGGAUCAGGUAGGGAUACCCGCUGAACUUAAGCAUAUCAAUAAGCGGAGGA